UCUGACACAGGUGCUGCAUGGCUGUCGUCAGCUCGUGUCGUGAGAUGUUGGGUUAAGUCCCAUAACGAGCGCAACCCCUAUCAUUAGUUGCCAUCAGGUCAAGCUGGGGACUCUAAUGAAACUGCCUACGCAAGUAGUGAGGAAGUGGGGAUGACGUCAAAUCAGCACGGCCCUUACGUCCAGGCUACACACGUGCUACAAUGGCCGGUACAACGGGCAGCGAAGGAGCGAUCCGGAGCGAAUCCUAAAAAGCCGGUCCCAGUUCGGAUUGCAGGCUGAAACUCGCCUACAUGAAGUUGGAGUUGCUAGUAAUCGCGAAUCAGAAUGUCGCGGUGAAUGCGUUCCCGGGUCUU
rnacentral:rRNA from 1 species